rnacentral:lncRNA from 1 species
UUGAUGAUAAACCAUACAAUAUUCAACUUUUAUUUUAUCAUCCACAUCGUCUGAAUAAUUCAGGAGAGCGGAGCUACUGUGCAAAAUCUUUACAACCAUUGACCUUGAAUGGCAGAAAUGAUAACAAUCGAUAUUCAAGUCCAUCUUACACCAGACACUUGGAGUUGCAUGUUAUGGGCUGCAUGAAAAAGAAGUCUAGCUGAAGAUAUGCAGAUGUUUGACUAGGAUAGAAUUCAUGAAGAGAGUGGGGGGUGGGUUGACUUCCCAGCGUUGGUUACCUCUCUCUCAGUAAGAAAUUACCAUAACUGGAGCUUUCCCACCACGAUUAAGAGCCCCACUAAAACCCUAGCCUCCCCACCUGGACACACGUGAUAAAUGGCCGCUCUCUGGUAUCCACCAGUGCAAAGUUUGUGGGGCACUUACACUUCAACCCCUCGAGCUGGUGUCUAGAUCUCUGGCGGCUUGCCUUCGAAGGGGGUGGAGUCCAGCUGUCAGCCAAAGAAAACUAUGAUUGUUAGCUCCCCUCUUUAUCCAUUUCCGCCCCACCACGCCACGCCACCUGAUCCCCACCACCGACAACCAUGAGAAACCGCGCACCGCUCGCGUGGCUCCUUCUCUGGGCGUGUCUGGCGGCGGGAUUAAAUAUCGAUGACGUGGAGGACCCCCGCAUCAAGACGCUCCACCAGCUCGCGGUCUAGGAGUGGGAAUAGAGUGGCCGACAAGAAAUUGGUCUUUCCCCCCGCAGUCAACGGCGUGCGGAAGAUAUUUAUUACACGUAGAGCGAGAUGUGCUGUCCCUGAAUUCACGAGUCGACAGGCAUUUACAGCUCAUCCGAAAAAGUAAGAAAAAAUUUGAUAUAGCGGUUAAGAUUUAUAUAAGAUAAGCGAUGAACAGUAACUGACGAUCGGAAGUUGGGGCUAAAUGUAGGCCUCAGAAUUGCAGAAUAACAGCAUGGCCAGGGGCCUUUCAGUCCCGAAAGAUGGUUGAUUUACUGUUUGAUCUCGUCAUCGGCCAAGAAUAAGUGAAAAGAAGCAGAUCAUAGAUCUAGCUAGAUGCCGAACACGAAAAAAGAGGCAGAUCUCACGCGACCAGGAUUAGAUAAGCACGGAUAACUAAGGGUGAAACUUUUCCAUGAACAGAAAUAAUGGACCUCAGAAUUGCAGAAUGACAUCAUGGCCUGAGGCCAUUCAGUCCCGAAAGAUGGUUAAUGAUGAGUUUUCAUCACAGGUCGCGUAUAUAAAGCGAUAGGGAAGAAUAGGUAUUUACUCAUUUUAUUAUGGAAAUGUGGGGAGCUGACUGUUAAGAUUACCAAAAUACAAAAAAACCGAUUCAGAAACCGGAUCAGAUUAAAUCGGACACUAGCGAGAUCGAUCAAGACCAUGCAGCCAAAAUCAUACAAGGUAGUGACUGAACACCAUCUAGUUUACCGUCAAAACAUCAUGCGACAGAGAAAAACAUAAACGCUCAAAGCAUUCAAACUUCUAAGACGAGACGAGAACACUGACAGAGAUUAUAGAACCACAAAAUAGACACCAAGAGGAAAGAGAACGAAAGUUCCUUCACACCAUCUGCCUCCCACGAUGCAUCACGGAGUCCGGGGAGAGCCACCGCACAGUCUGGCAGUAGAAGAACGCAUACCAUAAUCGAUCUGGAAAUGAUCGCGUAGAUCGAUAAAAAGGUCGAAACGAGUAUACGCUCCCAAUCGCGGUUCUUCCGCGGUCGAGAAGAAGAGACGAAAGAAAAACAGCGCACCAUUCCGCGGCUCGAAAACCUUCCUAAGGUCUUCAUCCGCCGGGACGCCACAGCACCCGCUGUGAACUUCGUAGAAGCUAUACGCUCCUCGAAAACGCAGGUAGAGAAGGAAAUGGCGCCACAGACGUUGAACGAAGAAGGAUCACAGAACCCUAGCCUCAGAAACCAAAACCCUAAUCCCCUCAUCGCUCCGCCGCCGAUGCCGGU